rnacentral:rRNA from 1 species
CUGAGAACACGGCCAGACUCCUACGGGAGGCAGCAGUAGGGAUCUCGCAAUGACGAAAGUCUGACGAGCACGCCGCUGAGUGAUGAAGUUUUCGGAUCGUAAAGCUCUGUUGUUAGGGAAGAACAAGUGCCGUUCAAAUAGGGCGGCACUUGACGGUACCUAACCAGAAAGCCACGGCUAACUACGUGCCAGCAGCCGCGGUAAUACGUAGGUGGCAAGCGUUGUCCGGAAUUAUUGGGCGUAAAGGGCUCGCAGGCGGUUUCUUAAGUCUGAUGUGAAAGCCCCCGGCUCAACCGGGGAGGGUCAUUGGAAACUGGGGAACUUGAGUGCAGAAGAGGAGAGUGGAAUUCCACGUGUAGCGGUGAAAUGCGUAGAGAUGUGGAGGAACACCAGUGGCGAAGGCGACUCUCUGGUCUGUAACUGACGCUGAGGAGCGAAAGCGUGGGGAGCGAACAGGAUUAGAUACCCUGGUAGUCCACGCCGUAAACGAUGAGUGCUAAGUGUUAGGGGGUUUCCGCCCCUUAGUGCUGCAGCUAACGCAUUAAGCACUCCGCCUGGGGAGUACGGUCGCAAGACUGAAACUCAAAGGAAUUGACGGGGGCCCGCACAAGCGGUGGAGCAUGUGGUUUAAUUCGAAGCAACGCGAAGAACCUUACCAGGUCUUGACAUCCUCUGACAAUCCUAGAGAUAGGACGUCCCCUUCGGGGGCAGAGUGACAGGUGGUGCAUGGUUGUCGUCAGCUCGUGUCGUGAGAUGUUGGGUUAAGUCCCGCAACGAGCGCAACCCUUGAUCUUAGUUGCCAGCAUUCAGUUGGGCACUCUAAGGUGACUGCCGGUGACAAACCGGAGGAAGGUGGGGAUGACGUCAAAUCAUCAUGCCCCUUAUGACCUGGGCUACACACGUGCUACAAUGGACAGAACAAAGGGCAGCGAAACCGCGAGGUUAAGCCAAUCCCACAAAUCUGUUCUCAGUUCGGAUCGCAGUCUGCAACUCGACUGCGUGAAGCUGGAAUCGCUAGUAAUCGCGGAUCAGCAUGCCGCGGUGAAUACGUUCCCGGGCCUUGUACACACCGCCCGUCACACCACGAGAGUUUGUAACACCCGAAGUCGGUGAGGUAACCUUUUAGGAGCCAGCCGCCGAAGUGACCGAAUGU